ACGGAGGGUGCAAGCGUUAAUCGGAAUUACUGGGCGUAAAGCGCACGUAGGCGGUUUAUUAAGCCAGCUGUGAAAUCCCCGGGCUCAACCUGGGCACUGCAGUUGGAACUGAUAAGCUAGAGUAUGGUAGAGGGGUGUGGAAUUUCAGGUGUAGCGGUGAAAUGCGUAGAUAUCUGAAGGAACAUCAGUGGCGAAGGCGACACCCUGGACCAAUACUGACGCUGAGGUGCGAAAGCGUGGGGAGCAAACAGG
rnacentral:rRNA from 1 species